GUACUGAACACAGUAAGCGGAGACGUCACUCAAUUCGUCCUUGAGCUCGUUUCAUAGGCAAACAGAGAAGUUACCAAGCGGGAGUCUCCAUAGAGCGGUGUCUGGUUCUCACAUGGGUGAGUACAGAGUUGUGUCCUCUAGGGUAUAACGCCGUGCAAUCCGGUGAAAGUCGACCGACAUUUCGAGGGAACAUAUCGCUUCCAUCUUCAGGAACAAAGAGUAAGCCAAGCAAUAAAACACCAUGAUAUGGCAACUCUUAGCGUCAUUAGCAGAGGCCCUCUAAGUGGUGGUGAGAAAUAGGUACUACUAUUUUUCAACAGUAAAAAGGAGUGCCACGUAUUUGCAAGUGUGAACAAGGAAUUGUAGAGGAGUGACGAAGAACUCAGUGUACCACAUCGGAAGAAGAUUGUAGCAUCACUUCUUGAAAUAGGACUGGGCACUGAAGAUGACAUUAUUACAUCAGGGAUGCCUUCUUCACUGACAGCUUCAAGAACUGACUGAUGUCAGCACGAGUGGUGGUGGAGUGACGGUGAACUAAUAGCUGGGAAGGAAGUCGAGAUGAAUCAGUCACGUAACGUGAUGAAGGUCUGUCGCAGCUCAAGCCUGGAUGGACUGCGGUACGCCUAGACCACCUAGACCAAUGAUCUUCAACUUGGGGUACGUAAAAUUAAAAUUCGUCCCCGAAUUGAGGCGCUGCUCUGCGAGAAAGAAGAUUAGUCAUCUCGUUAACAGAUAUGGCGAAGUGGAGACUGAUUCUGUUUCUGUAAGCAGGCAUAGGGGGCCUAAGUUUUCCAAUUCAGUUGGACCUGUUAGGAAGAGCUAGUCCUGAUCCAUGGACUCAAAGAUGGUGGACAAUGUCAAAAUAAUAAUUAUUUUUAGUGUUAUAAAUGGGUGGCAGAAACAUUCAGUUUUUAUAAUUAACAAAGAAGCACUGAGUAGUGAAACCAGUGCCUUUUCUUGCAGUUUUCAGUGUGAAAACAGUAUUAAUUCACAGCUGGGGCACACAUAUGCGUGUCAGAAGAAGCAAUCUAUGAAAUAUACAUACAUAUUUGUAAAAUCACUUUGAAUAUCCUUUACAUUUUUG